rnacentral:rRNA from 1 species
CGUGAUUUAUGAAACAAUAUAACCUCAAAAUCUGCAAACCAGUGACACGGCUCAGUCCGUGGCCACGCCGCCACGCGGUUCCGCGUGAAGGCUAGAUCAUGUACACUUUUGACGUAUCGGUUUACGAUUUUGCCUUUUCCUUUUGUAUUUUUUUUACCAGGACCCGGCUUAGACGUGUUGGGUUUUGUCACCCGUGUUGGGUGUACAAAAAAAAGCAACAGAGAAAGAAAAAAAAAAAGAAAGAGACCUCUCUCUACCUGGAAACCGGCCGGGUGUCCGUGCGUGGCGGGGUCUAGCCUAUUCCAUCUCCGCUGCCCUGCCGAAAGCAGGGAUAGCUGGUUGGCGGGGGUUAGGGCUAGGUUUGCUGCCGGUGGGAACACGAAGGUGGCGGCUGGCACGACGCCCUUCGGCGCGGAGGAGGCCUUGUUCGGGCAGACGACCUGGCAGCAUAGCGCGCGGCAGCGUCGGCCGGUGCGCACCCUCCUCGCGCGACAGCGUUAGCAAUACUCCCCUCGGCGCGGGCCCGUUCUCGACGGUAAGCGCGAAGAACGACUGGCGUCCGGCGGCCACAUAAGCCUCAGCUCACGCAGUUAGGCGCAAGCUGUAGUAAAAACUCCUCCCGUACGUCUGUGUACAAACACAGGAACGGAACUCGUCGGACUACUGGCACCCUCGCACCGUCACGGUACGCGGUCUCCUCCUCGUGAAGAACGCCAUCCACGCUCGGCCCGGCGCGGCAAGAAGUAAGACGGCCGUGGCCGCCGUGCGCGGACUGCAACCGGCGGAGGCGGCGGCUACCCUUCCUGCGGUGACGACCACAGGUGCGGCGGCCCUCCGAGAGGAGCGGAGACACUAAGAACGCGCACAUCGGCGGAAGAGCUCUACCGGAAAGAGCGAGUUGCCUCUCGUCUCGCGACUAUUGGACACUACUUAGUUUUCAUUACUGUUUACUUGAGCAUAGAAAUAAUGACCCUACUACAUGUAUAUAUAGGAGACUUCCCGCCGUAGGUUGGCCACGUUGCCAAGCCUCUCUGUCCUCGCUUCCCUGCACUACCAAUCGUCUAUUGAUUGGCGGAGGGAUUACAUUGCACCUCUAAUAGGUGUAAUAAAUUAAUGUCUUAUUAAUUAAGGAUUGUCAAUCUUAACCUUAAUCUUAAAUCUAUCAUUAUUUCGUUCUAUUCUGCCCAUGCCGGCCAUAGAUGAAUGCAGAGGGCGUUCAUAUAGGGAUAUCGUAAAUUAUUAGUUAGUUAGUUUGGGAAAACGGGCACAUUGGGAUCGUCAAAUCACGCGGAGACGUUGCUGUUUGGUCCUCCUCAGCUAUGUAGUCUCGCUGUCCUUUUCUCGCUUCGUUCGGUUCCUCCUUCCUCGAGCCCCUUUCGUCUACCGGCUGCUGCUCUUGCGAUAGGAGCUGCCGGAGGAGCGGCAGGGCCUCGGACUGCUUAGAUCGGCCUUGUUCAAGUAUACGAACCACCCAGAGAGGAAGAACCGCAGAAAAUAGAGGACGCACAACGACAACGUCAAAAUGCCGCGAAAGACCUCGAUAAAGUCGUGGCGCGAGAGGUAGCAGCGCGAGCAGCACCCGGAACGCGAGAAUCACCGUAGUCGGCGCGAAAAGCGGGAAGUGCUUUUAGAAACGAACGUUGCCUCUGUACCAUUGGGUCUACCUGUUUCCGAGCAUCUAUCCAAGUAGGUCAAGCUACAUAGGAAAACCCUAACGCAGCCAACCGUACUGUAUAAACUACCGUUAUUAUUAUUAGGUUUGAACGUAGUCGUGGUAGGUGUUGUUUAGCACAUACAGUAGUAACCUCCAAUU